rnacentral:rRNA from 1 species
UACGUAGGGGGCAAGCGUUGUUCGGAAUUACUGGGCGUAAAGGGCGCGUAGGCGACACGGCAAGUCGGGAGUGAAAGCCCGGGGCUCAACCCCGGAGGGUCUUCCGAAACUGCCGAGCUAGAGUGCGGAAGAGGCAACCGGAAUUCCCAGUGUAGCGGUGAAAUGCGUAGAUAUUGGGAAGAACACCAGAGGCGAAGGCGGGUUGCUGGGCCGACACUGACGCUGAGGCGCGAAAGCCAGGGGAGCAAACGGG